GUAGGUGGCAAGCGUUGUCCGGAAUUAUUGGGCGUAAAGCACGCGCAGGCGGUUCUUUAAGUCUGAUGUGAAAGCCCACGGGCUCAACCGUGGAGGGUCAUUGGAAACUGGAGAACUUGAGUACAGAAGAGGAAAGCGGAAUUCCACGUGUAGCGGUGAAAUGCGUAGAGAUGUGGAGGAACACCAGUGGCGAAGGCGGCUUUCUGGUCUGUAACUGACGCUGAGGCGCGAAAGCGUGGGGAGCAAACAGGAUUAGAUACCCUGGUAGUCCACGCCGUAAACGAUGAGUGCUAAGUGUUAGGGGGUUUCCGCCCCUUAGUGCUGCAGCUAACGCAUUAAGCACUCCGCCUGGGGAGUACGGCCGCAAGGCUG
rnacentral:rRNA from 1 species